CAAUAGCGUAUAUUUAAGUUGUUGCAGUUAAAAAGCUCGUAGUUGGAUUUCGGGUGGGACGCAGCGGUCUCGCAUUGCGUUUGUACUGCUGCAGCCCUCCUUCUUGCCGGGGGCGGCCUCUCGGACUUCACUGUCUGGGGGUCAGAAUCGGCGAUGUUACUUUGAGUAAAUUAGAGUGUUCAAAGCAAGCUUACGCUCUGAAUAUAAUAGCAUGGGAUAACACGACAGGACUCUGGCCUAUCGUGUUGGUCUAUAGGACCAGAGUAAUGAUUAAGAGGGACAGUCGGGGGCAUUCGUAUUCCGUUGUCAGAGGUGAAAUUCUUGGAUUUACGGAAGUCGAACAUCUGCGAAAGCAUUUGCCAAGGAUGUUUUCAUUGA
rnacentral:rRNA from 1 species